UUCACAUAUGUAUUUACCAUAGACUGUAUAUAAUAUACAUGAGUAGAUAGGACACGCCCCUUUGAGCUGCGUGCUACAGCGAGGCUAAGCUAGUGGGGGCAAAGUUUCAGUGCAUUCCGUUGAUGUAGACGGCGUGAAAACGGAAACAAGAAGUAUGCCGUCUCACUGUGCUGCAUACAAUUACACACUACGUCGUACGAUUGAGACAAGGAAACUUGGAAUGACUUUUCAUAGGUAAGGAUAGUUUUUGGCUCUUUUUUCAUUAUGAAAUCUUGUUGAGAGCUUCCAGUCUAUGAGAGCUAACUAGUUAGCCACUAGCAAAACGCUGAGAAACCAACUCUGAUCAUUGGCAGCUCCGUAGUCAGAAACGUGAAGCUAGCGACACCAGUGACCAUAGUAAAAUGCCUCCCAGGGGCCAGAGCGGGCGACACAGAAGCAAAUUUGAAACUGCUGGCUAAAGAUAAUCGUAAAUACAGUAAGACUGUUAUUCAUGUCGGCGGUAAUGACACCCGGUUACGCCAAUCGGAGGUCACCAAAAUUAGUGUGGCAUCGGUGUGUAACUUUGCCAAAACCAUGUCGGACUCCGUAGUUUUCUCUGGACCCCUGCCUGAUCUGACCAGCGAUUAUAUGUUUAGCUGCAUGUCGUCGUUUCGCCGCUGGGUGUCUACGUGGUGUACUGCAAACGACGUUGCCUUUAUAGACAAUUGGAGCUCUUUCUGGGGAAAACCUGGUCUGAUUAGGAGAGACGGCAUCCAUCCCACUUUGGCUGGUGCAACUCUCAUAUCUAGAAAUAUGGCUGAUUUUAUUAGAACUCCUAAAGCAUGACAACCCAGAGUUCAGACCAGGAUGCAGAGUUGUAGUCUUCCACACCUCUCUGCAGUUUCCUCUCAGCUGUCACCCUCCAGUAAUUCAGUUAGCUUUAUUGAGACUGUGUCUGUCCCUCGACCACAAAAAUUCAAUAAAUUAAACAAUUCAAAAAUAAACAAAAUACAUAGUAAUCAUAAAAAUGUAAUUAAAAUUAAUACCACUAUUUCAACUGAGCGAAGAAACAGGACAAUUAAAUGUGGUCUGUUAAAUAUUAGAUCUCUCUCGUCUAAAUCUCUGUUAGUAAAUGAUUUGAUAACUGAUCACCAGAUUGAUUUGUUCUGUUUGACUGAAACCUGGUUGCAGCAGGAAGAAUAUGUUAGUCUAAAUGAAUCAACUCCUACUAGUCAUACUAACUGUCAUGUUCCUCCAAUCACAGGCCGAGGAGGAGGAGUGGCAGCAAUUUACCUCUCUAGCUUAAAAAUUAACCAGAGACCUAAACCUCUAGUUACAGUUCAUUUGAAAAUCUUACUCUCAGUCUCUCUCAUCCAGAUUUAAAAGCUCAGAAACCAGUUUUAUUUGUUGUUGUAUAUCGUCCUCCUGCUCCUUACUCUGAGUUUUUAUCUCAAUUCUCAGACUUUUUAUCUGAUUUAGUGCUCAGCUCAGAUAAAGUCAUUAUUGUGGGUGACUUCAGCAUUCAUGUUGACGUGGACAGUGACAGCCUUACGACUGCUUUUAAUUCAAUAUUAGACUCAAUUGGGUUUUCUCAACAUGUAAAUAAACCAACUCAUAGUUUUAAUCAUACCCUUGACCUCGUUCUGACUUAUGGCAUAGAAAUCAAACAGUUAACAGUAUUUCCCCGGAACCCUCUUCUUUCUGACCAUUUUAUGAUAACAUUUCAAUUUACAACAAUAGAUUGUAUAGGAGUUAAAAAUAAAUAUCAUUACAGUAGAUGUCUGUCUCACAAUUCGGUGACUAAAUUUAAGGAAAUAAUACCCUCUCUAUUUAGUUCAGCACCACUUACUGAUAAAAUGAGAGGGAAAUAUUAUAAUUUUACCCCCACAGAAGUGGAUUAUAUUGUUAAUAAUGCUGCAGCCUCACUGCGUACAACACUUGAUAGUGUUGCACCUGUAAAAAAGAAAGUUCUAUCUCAGAGAGGACCUGCUCCUUGGUAUAAUUCCCAGCUGCGGACUUUAAAGCAGGCGUCCCGAAAGCUGGAAAGGAAGUGGUACUCCACUAAUUUAGAGGAAGUUUAUGUAGCUUGGAAAAUAGUCUAGUAAUUUAUAAAAAAGCUCUUCGUAAUGCCAGGACAACAUAUUAUUCAUCUUUAAUAGAGGAAAACAAGAACAACCCCAGGUUUCUCUUCAGCACUGUAGCCAGGCUGACAAAGAGUCAGAGCUCUGUUGAAACUUGUAUUCCUUUAGCUUUGAGCAGUAACAACUUCAUGAGCUUCUUUACAAAUAAAAUUAUUACGAUUAGAGAAAAAAUUACUCUGGCCCUUCCUACAAAUGUCACAGAUGUAUCAUCGAGUACAGAUACUUUAGAAUCGGCUGUAAGACCAGAUGGAUAUUUAGAAUUUUUCACUCCCAUACAUCUCUCUGAACUAAUUUCAGUAGUUUCUACAUCCAAACCAUCGACAUGUCUUUUAGAUCCUAUCCCAACUAGACUGUUCAAGGAGGCUUUACCUUUAAUUAAUUCCUCAAUGUUAGAUCUGAUUAAUCUCUCCCUAGUAACAGGCUAUGUGCCACAGGCUUUUAAGGUUGCUGUAAUCAAACCUUUACUUAAAAAGCCCACUCUAAAUCCAGAUGUUUUAGCCAACUAUAGACCAAUUUCCAACCUCCCAUUUCUCUCCAAAAUUCUGGAAAGAACAGUUGCAAAUCAAUUAUGUGAACAUUUACAAAGGAAUAGCUUGUUUGAAGAGUUUCAGUCAGGCUUCAGAGUGCAUCAUAGCACAGAAACAGCUCUGGGGAAAGUUACUGAUGACCUUCUCAUAGCGUCAGAUAAUGGACUGGUCUCUAUACUUAUUUUAUUGGACCUUAGUGCAGCAUUCGAUACAAUCGACCACAAACUUUUAUUACAGCGACUAGAACAUUCUAUUGGCGGACACCCUCUCUAUUUUUAAGACCGGGCUUAAAACCUUCCUCUUUGACAAAGCUUAUAGUUUGGGCUGACUGGGGGACCCUGACGGGGUGAGCUGGUGUUUUCAUUUGCAAAACUGACUUCCCCUCGACGUCCCUUUAGUUUGCCCCUAGUUAUGCUGCUAUAGGCCUAGACUGCUGGGGAACCUCUCUUGAUGCGCUGAGCCCUUCUCUAACUACCUAUGUAUUUACUAUAUAUACCAUUAUUGCAUUACACUCACUGUGUUUCUUUCUGUGUCCUUUCUCCGAGUGUCCCUGGUCCCAGAGCUGGAUGCUUCAGAUGUGUGGUUGUUCUCCCACCUCCAGCUGCCCAUUUCCACCGAUCUACUCUGCAUUGCCUUUACUAUACUUGAUUUGCUCAUCUACAUAUUUUUGAAUUUACCACCAGCUAUAUAUGUAGUAUAUUUAAUGCCAGAGCCGUACACCAUAGCAGUAAACUAUAAUUAGUUUCCCUGUUAGUUGUGCUUUGCAUGUAUCAUCUGUCUUAUCAUGCAUGUGUUAUACUGUGUGUUUUAUGGUCCUUGUGUCCCCCCCACCUCUCUAUCUCUACCUCUACCCCUCUACCCCUCUAUCUCUACCCCUCUAUCUCUAUCCCUCUACCUCUACCUCUCUACCUCUUCUGUCCCUCUCAACCCGCCCGGCCAGCAGGCAGAUGGGUCCCCCCACAUUAGAGCCGGGUUCUGCUUGAGGUUUUUUUCUCUGUUAAAAGGGUGUUUUCCUUACCACUGUUGCCUUUUGGCUUGCUCUGGGGGUCAGGCAUAUGGGUUCUGUAAAGCGUCUUGAGACAAUUUGACUGUAAUUGGCACUAUAUAAAUAAAAUUGAAUUGAAUUAAGGCGAGCUAGCAGCUUGACAACCAAAUACGAUUAAUAGUAGCUGUAGUAUAGUUGUACAAGCAGUAGUAGUAAUACUAAAAGUACAAGCAGCAGUAGUAGUAUAAACAGAUGUUAGUCAUAGAAGUAGUAUCAGCAUUUGUAAUAGUAUUACAAGUUGUAGUAGCAGUGCCAGUAUCAGCAGCAGUAGUUAGUGUACUACCACUACUACUACUAGUAGUAGUCACAUUGCUAUUACUACCACCAAUACUACCAAUAGUACUUAUAAAGCCUAACUCUUGUAUAUCCAGAUUACCAUCUAUGUUCUUCCUCCAAACCCAUUUUAUGAUUGGGAUUACAGGCAGUUCUUUAGGACUGCUCUCAAAUAAGUGAAAUGUUACUAAACAAGGUUAUACUUAUCAAAUUAAAUAGCUCUGGUCUCCAGUAUAUUGGCGAAUUCGGUUCUUUGUACUUAAUUUAUUAGCAUGAUUUCUUUUUAAUAUGUUGUCUACAGACUUAAUUACUUCUCUGUCUACUUUUCUUACUCCAUGUAGGUUUCCCAGAGACUAUGGGUUGAGGAGGAAUUGGAAGUUUGUCGGCUUAGACCUGGUGUCAUUCCAUCAGUGUUAAACUUCCCGGCUUAUCUUGGAAGAGUACGUGCCAGAAAGACCACGACCAAGCAGCCUUGAGAUCUUAGGCAGCGUCUCCCUGAGGUCCCUCUCUAUCUCCCCACACAUCCACCAACCACUGGAACACAUCUCCAAAGUUCUGCCGGGCCAGCUCAGCUUCCCCUCAGAAGAAGUUCCACCAGAUGAAGGAGCCUUUUGAGAGGCAGCUGGCAUCGUGAUUGGACUGUACUUUGGUCUGUUCUAAUCCAGCUUCAGCUCCAGAGACGGCAGGUGGGACGAGUCAACGGAGGCCGGGUGGACGAAGGCAUGCAGCUGAGUACAAUCCAGAAAACAACAGAGGAGGAGUGCAGUGACCCAGAGCCAGAACAAACAGAGUAGCAUCGUAUGUCUCUCAGAAAACAUCAUAGUAUAGCCUUUGGUAUGAAAAAACGCCAUCAUAUACAUUGUAUAUUGUACAAAUAACAAGUCAAAGGAAAGAGACAUACAUUGUAGAAUUGUAGUAAUUGUGGGCUGACUGAUUUACUGAUUAUCAGUAUUUUAUUUUUUACUGAUUUACGGUAAUAAAUACAUUUAAAAAUGGUGCUACUUUGGCUCUGAACCUU